GUAGGGUCCGAGCGUUAUCCGGAAUCAUUGGGCGUAAAGAGCUCGUAGGCGGUUCAGCAAGUCGGCUGUGAAAGUUCGAGGCUCAACCUCGAAAUUGCAGUCGAUACUGCUGUGACUUGAAUUCGGUAGAGGAGAAUGGAAUUCCCGGUGUAGCGGUGAAAUGCGCAGAUAUCGAGAGGAACACCAGUAGCGAAGGCGGUUCUCUGGGCCGAUAUUGACGCUGAGGAGCGAAAGCGUGGGGGGAGCAAACAGGAUUAGAUACCCUGGUAGUCCACGCCCGUAAACGUUGGAUGCUAGGUGUGGCGGUCUACCAACGACUGCCGUGCCGAAGCUAACGCAUUAAGCAUCCCCGCCUGGGGAGUACGGCCGCAAGGCUA
rnacentral:rRNA from 1 species